CGAACGCUGGCGGCGUGCUUAACACAUGCAAGUCGAACGGAAAGGCCCUGCUUUUGUGGGGUGCUCGAGUGGCGAACGGGUGAGUAACACGUGAGUAACCUGCCCUUGACUUUGGGAUAACUUCAGGAAACUGGGGCUAAUACCGGAUAGGAGCUCCUGCUGCAUGGUGGGGGUUGGAAAGUUUCGGCGGUUGGGGAUGGACUCGCGGCUUAUCAGCUUGUUGGUGGGGUAGUGGCUUACCAAGGCUUUGACGGGUAGCCGGCCUGAGAGGGUGACCGGCCACAUUGGGACUGAGAUACGGCCCAGACUCCUACGGGAGGCAGCAGUGGGGAAUAUUGCACAAUGGGCGGAAGCCUGAUGCAGCAACGCCGCGUGCGGGAUGACGGCCUUCGGAUUGUAAACCGCUUUCGCCUGUGACGAAGCGUGAGUGACGGUAAUGGGUAAAGAAGCACCGGCUAACUACGUG
rnacentral:rRNA from 1 species